rnacentral:rRNA from 1 species
UACAUGUGGGGCAAGCGUUGUUCGGAAUUACUGGGCAUAAAGGGUGCGUAGGCGGCUUGUUAAGUCAGGGGUGAAAUCCCACGGCCCAACCGUGGAACUGCCUUUGAUACUGGCGAGCUUGAGUGCGUGAGGGGUAACCGGAACGAGUAGUGUAGCGGUGAAAUGCGUAGAUAUUACGCGGAAGGCCAAAGGCGAAGGCAGGUUACUGGUACGCAACUGACGCUGAUGCACGAAAGCGUGGGGAGCAAACAGG